GACGAACGCUGGCGGCGUGCUUAACACAUGCAAGUCGAACGGAAAGGCCCUGCUUUUGUGGGGUGCUCGAGUGGCGAACGGGUGAGUAACACGUGAGUAACCUGCCCUUGACUUUGGGAUAACUUCAGGAAACUGGGGCUAAUACCGGAUAGGAGCUCCUGCUGCAUGGUGGGGGUUGGAAAGUUUCGGCGGUUGGGGAUGGACUCGCGGCUUAUCAGCUUGUUGGUGGGGUAGUGGCUUACCAAGGCUUUGACGGGUAGCCGGCCUGAGAGGGUGACCGGCCACAUUGGGACUGAGAUACGGCCCAGACUCCUACGGGAGGCAGCAGUGGGGAAUAUUGCACAAUGGGCGGAAGCCUGAUGCAGCAACGCCGCGUGCGGGAUGACGGCCUUCGGGUUGUAAACCGCUUUCGCCUGUGACUAAGCGUGAGUGGCGGUAAUGGGUAAAGAAGCACCGGCUAACUACGUG
rnacentral:rRNA from 1 species